CAGACCCAGAGAGCUCCAGCAAGGUGCCUCCGCCCUUGCCCCAGAGCCCCUUUCUGGCGGGGAUCCAGCGGGGAGGGGAUCUGCUAAGCUGUCUGCAGCCGUUUUGUAAACCAUUAUUGCUCAGAGACGCCAUUCCGUUGCCUUAAAAUAUGUUCACGCCACUGUUAAUGGCGAAAGCAUCCCGUUGCCUUUUAAGCCAUCCUGUGACAAGGAGCAACCCCACUGCUUCGAUGUUUUGCCAUAAAAACCACCCGUACAUCAAGAUGUGCCCCCAUCGGGUCAGAGAGACCGGGAUAGGAAACCAAACUGACUGUGCAACCUUGGAUGAGGACAUUGAAGCUCAGCAAGGAGACGUGACUUGCUGAGGGCACAGGCUGUAAACCCUCGAGGCUUUGGGAGGGCUCCUGGUAAACAGCUCCCCGAUGCCCACGUCCACCAAGAUGGUCUGGAUCUAAGGUGUCUUUGCUGUGCUGCCUUGGGUCCCAGUUCAAUUGUCACCUCCACUGGAAAGCUCUUGCGGAUCCUCCUCCACGUGCGGGCUCAGUUCCACCUCUGUGUCCCCAGCCUCGCCCUGCUCACCCUGGGCUGGGUCACUCCGAGCUCUGUGGGGCAGGGACCCUGCUCGUCUGGUCUGCACUGCAGCCCUGGUGUCCAGCCCGGGGCCUGGCGUGUGGCAGGUGCUAACAAACGGUUUGUUCAGUGCCGCUCCCUCCCUGAAGGAUGGAACCAAUGACUGGCAUUCCCAGCAUGCUGCCGGGGCCUGGAUGUCUGUGUCCUAAGUCUCGUGUUGAAAACCUAAUGCCCAAGGUCAUGUACUGGGAGGUGGGUCUGCCUUUGGGGGGGUCUGCCCUCAUGAAUGGGUUAAUGCUCUUAUAGAAGAGGCUGCCAAGAGUUCCCUAGCCCCUUGGGCCAUGUGAAGACGCGAGGAGAAGUCAGCUACCAGGAAGAGGGCCCUCCCUUGGCCACGUUGGCUCCCUGCUUUGAGACUUCCAGCCUCCAAAACUGUGAGAAAUCAAUUCCCGUUGUUUAUAAGCCACCCAGUGUCUGGUAUUCUGUUACAGCAGCCCAAACGGACUGAGCCACAUGCCCACCUCCCCUGGCUCUCCAACCCUCAUCCCUCUUUGCAGGGAACCAGGAAGCUGGCAGCUUGGGUGGCAGCAGCUAGAUUUGAAUCCCUCAUGGCAAGAGCUGCCCGGAUGUUAAGCCAGCUUCCCUGCUCGGGAGCUCACUUGCUUUCUCCGGAUCGACCCGGUCAGGUGGAUCCUGCUGGGGAGACUCCGGCUUUGAGCUGCCCACCUUUGACGCCUCCAGGAGCAGCAGAAAAGGCUGACGUGGGAUCAGCCAGGCCUGGGAUUGAAUUCCAGUCCCACCACAGUCUAGCUGGGCAUCCACAGGCAAAUGCCUUCAUCACCCUGCGCCAUGGUUCUCAGGGAAUGUUUGUUGAUUGACUGACUGAGUGACUAAAAGAAUGAAUGAGUGAAGGAAUGAUUUAACGAAUGAAUGGCCAGCUCCAGGAUGCUGAUUGGAAGCUGGAGAGGAGGCUCCAAAUCCACCCCAGGCCCUCUAGGCCUGCCUCCUGGCCUCCCGCAGGGCCUUCCAUCUUUUGCCUCAUGGGGGUGGGGGUAGAGCAGGGGCAGGGGCUGGACUCCCCAGCCUCUGUCCUGCCCCCAAAUGCGCACAAUCUUCGUGACACUGUUUAAUUUUACAAGCCCCUCGGCUUUUAUGAGGGUUAUUUAUAAAGCUCCCGUCUUUGAUCCGCAGCAUAAGAAAGCAAACUCCUGUGUCUGAAAAUGUCACUGGGGAUUAGGGGAGCCUUUGAAGUCUCCUCCCUGCCAGCCGCCCCUGCCCAGCUUCUCCUCCAAAGGGCCUCCAAACCUGGCCAGGCCCUGGGGGCCCUCCUUUGAGGUGGAAGCGGCCCGGGUCCAGAUGAGUGACAGUCACGUGACAGCUGGAGGGGUUCAGGCUAGCUCCCCGGGUGGCGAAGAGAGGGACCAAGGAGACAGAGCCGAGAAGCCAGGAUGUUUCCUGCUCCACCUGGUUCCCCCUGCAGCGGAGCCCAGAGGGAUGAACAGGACUGCCUGGCCCGGCUCCGUUCACACACUCACAGUGGCCUCAGUGCCUCUAGGAUGUCUCCCCGCUCGCUCUCUCUGGAUCUUGCAGGACCUCCGAGCGUCUCCAGAGCCAACAGCAGGUGGGGGGUGAGAUCCCAGCUUGCCGCUCUCUGAGCUGUGUGAUCUUGGGCAAGCCCUUGCCCUCUCUGACCUGCUGUUCUCCUGUUUCCAAAACAAGACCCUCACUCCACGCAAGGUCAUGUGGGAUUAAAGGAAGUCGUUCCCAGGGGCGUGUGGGAUGCUUGGAGCCCUCGAAGGAGCCAGUGGUUCCUCCUGCCUCCUUCUCCGGAUCCUGCUUCCUAUCUCAGGCCUGAGGCGCAGAGGAGGCAAAGCCGGGGCCCCAGGGAGAGAGGCCUCAGCCAGGCCCCUGCCUGCUCCCCUGCCCAGCUUUCUCCCAGACCCAAGGCCUGGCCUCAGCCGGUGGAGGACGAGGCCGCCAUGACCGCCCACAGUGCUGGCCACCACCUCUCCCUACACCUUCUGAAGGUCACCGAGGAGGGAUGUGGUUCCUCCCUUCAUGGGGCUUCAGGGGGACAGGCAAGAAGGUAGCAGUGGGUGGGUGCAGGGCAGGGGGCUGUGUGGGGGUGAGUGGAGGCGGGGCCGUGUGAGCAGAAAGGUGAACAGACAUGCGCGAACUGGUGAACGAAUAAACAACCCGCGGUCCACUUGUACCAGCGAGGACUGCUGGCGACAGAAAGGAACGGACCCCUGACACAAGCGACAACCCUCGGGAGAGUUCCGCGGAACAUAUUUACAUCUCCCUCGUGCUGUUUAAAGGCUGUGCAGGAGUCCGCUGAGAGGAUGGACCAAAUUUAUUGAACCCGUCUGCUCGUGACAGGUAUUUCGGUAGGUUCCGUGUUUCAUUUUUUUGUCGUACAUUGCGCUGCCAUGAGCAUCCGUGUGCACACAGGUGGGCUUAUUCACAGGGUAAAUUCUUGUGGGUCGAAGGAUCUUUAUAUUUCAAAACUUGAUCAAAUUCAAAAUUUAAAUCUCUCAAGUCAGCCCUCUGCUUGACAUUUAGAUGUGUUUCCACCCCUCUCAGAAAAUGGACCUGAAUCCCCACUCAUGCUGACAGGCCACAUGGUCCUGCCCUAUCAAUUCUUCUGGCUCCGUCUCUCUCUGUGCUCCGGCCACACUGACCUACCUCUUCUACCACAGAGCCUUUGCACCUGCUAUGCCAUCCACCUGCAAAGCUUCCUCCCUUCUCUUGUCCUCUUCACUUGGUAACCUCCCCCUUUGCUCUUCAGAGUUCAUCCUCCAGGAAGCACUGCUUCCUCCAGGAAGCCUUCCCUGAUUGCUCUGGUGGAGCAUGUCUCUGUCACAGCCUUCAGAGGCCCUGCUCCUGACUCUGUUGCUUUCCUUCAGAGCGCUGAUCUCCAUUUAUAAAGAAAUGUGUCUUUCUGGGAUCUUGUGAACGAUGCCUGUCUCCUCACUAGACGGUGACCACCCCAGGGCAGAGAGGGGGUCUCGGGUUGGACCCUGGGACAAGGACUGGUGUGCAAGUGAUUGUUGAAGGAAGUGAUCCCGAGGUAGGUGAGUAAGGGAGUGGAGGAAGCAGGACAGAGAAGGAGAGGAAGCCAUGCAGGGCGCAAUUUCGGGGACAGCCUCAUGGAAGGGGGCCUCAGCCUGAUCCCACACAGGAGCUCAGGAGCGUGAAUUACACCACGGAGUUCUCCUGCCCCGAGGUGAGGGGGCUGGACUUCCACCUUCACCUGCGGCGUUGACUCAGGACCGCCCCAGUAGGGGCCGAGGAGGGCUCUGGGCACAUGCCAGCAAGGGGCUCCAGGAGCCAGAGGUCAGUUCUUUGAAGGAGUCACAGCUGAAGGCAGAUGGAGGAGAAGCGCACAGAAGCUGGCGGGGGGCACGUGGAAACGGUUGGGAGAUGGGAGCGGAGCAUUGAUUGUACCCACUGCACUUGAGGUCUCUUUUCUUCACUACCCUUUUUUUUUUUUUUUUUGAGGAAGAUUAGCCCUGAGCUAACUGCUGCCAAUCCUCCUCUUUUCGCUGAGGAAGACUGGCCCUGAGCUAACAUCCCUGCCCAUCUUCCUCUACUUUAUAUAUGGGACGCCUACCACAGCAUGGCGUGCCAAGCGGUGCCAUGUCUGCACCCGGGAUCCGAACCGACCAACCCCAGGCCGCUGGCACGGAACGUGCACACUUUAAGCGCUGCGCCACCAGGCCAGCCCCUCUUCACUAUCCCAAGUGUCCAGCAUAGAGUUUGGCACAGAACACACACUCAGGAGGGACCUGGGGAGCAAGCAAAUGAACACCUCUGCGAACGUGAGUGUAGGAAGGGCGUCAGCAGAAGGAACGGCAUCAGCAAAGGCUCAGAAGUGGGACUAGGCAGCUGUGCUCGUAUCAAUCCAGUGCGAGCCAGCUGCCAAUUUUCAGGAAUUUUGAUGAGCUCGUGUGACACUCACAUUCUGACACCAGCUGGUACUGCCAUUCAAUCUAGUUCUGAUACUUAACCACCUGGAGUUAGCCUCAGACUCCAAAGGUCAAGGGGCGCCCUCCCAAAAAGAGGGCCCUCACUUCAGACAAAGCUGCAAGUUCAGGGGUCCCUACACUUAUGACCAACUGGCUACUAAUUCAGGGGUUCCCAUGACCUCCUCAGGUUUGAUAACUGGCCAGAACACACCACAGGACUCAGGAAAGCACUAUGUGUAUGAUUAUAGUUUUAUUAUAAAGGAUAAAAUCAGGACCAGCCAAAUGAAGAGAUACACAGGAUGAGGUCUGGGACGGUCCUGAGCUCACAGCCUCCAAGCCCUUUCGUCCGUGGAAUCCGGGCACAUCAUCCUCCUGGCGCAUCAGUGAGUUCACCGACCAGGAAGCUGUCCUGAGCCUCAGUGUCCACAGUUUUUAUUGCAGUUCCAUCACACAGGCGUGACUGACUGAGCCAUUGGCCAUGUGACUGGACUCAACCUCCAGGCUUCUCCUCUGCUUGGAGUUUGGUGUGGGGGCCUGGGGGGGUCGAGGCCCCAACCUUCCAGUCACAUGGUUGUUCUCUCUGGUGACAGCCACCAUCCUGAGUCAUCUCACCUUUUAGCACAAACUCAGGAGUGACCCAAGGGGCUCAUGAACAACACACACACACUCCUCUUAGUCUGGAAAUUCCAAGCAUUUAGAGUCUCCCUCCUAGGAACCAGACAAAGGCCAGUCAAAUUAAAAGAAAAAAAAAAAAAAAGAUUUGCACCUGAGCUAACAACUGUUGCCAAUCUUCUUUUUCUUUUUCUUUUUCCUGCUUUUUCUCCCCAAAGCCCCCUGGUACAUAGUUGUGUAUUUUUAGUUGUGGGUCCUUCUAGUUGUGGCAUGUGGGAUGCUGCCUUAGCGUGGUACCUGAUGAGCGGUACCAUGUCCGCGCCCAGGAUCCGAACCCGUGAAACCCUGGGCUGACGAAGUGGGGCACAUGAACUCAACCACUUGGCCACGGGGCCAGUCCCCAGUCAAAUUCUUUAUUACAUCACGCAGAGCAAUUCUUGAAAUUUAAAUUAUAUAAACUUACAGCCAAAUAAAUCAUAGCAUAACUGUAAUAAAUACUCAAAACUCAUCAUUUCUUCAUAUUUUACUACGUUUUGCUAUCAUGUUCUUGAGGUUAUUUCCGUCUAUUGUAUCCACAUGGUGGAAACACCAUAUAAUGGUAUCUGCACCUCUAUUCCCAACUCUGCCUUCACCCACAUGUUGGUUAGUUUGAAACCAGAGUAUUUGCACCACAGAAAUUGGCAAGUGCUACAAAUCAGAGCUUCAUUUAUCACGUCGUUGAUGAUCUAAACUUAGAAAGUCACGGAGAAAAUGUUAAUAACAUAGAUUAAACUUAAAAGUCUGUUGUUUGUAUAGCCAUUACACGUGAAGAGCACAGAAAUUGGAGGAAAUGUUCUUCCAGGAUUCAAAAACCAUUAUGCAAUUCAGCAAAGAGAUUGCUCACGUCACAGACAAAUGAGUGACAUUCUGAC
rnacentral:lncRNA from 1 species